UACGUAGGCAGCAAGCGUUGUUCGGAGUUACUGGGCGUAAAGGGUGCGUAGGCGGUUGUUUAAGUUUGGUGUGAAAUCUCCCGGCUCAACUGGGAGGGUGCGCCGAAUACUGAAUGACUAGAGUGCGGGAGAGGAGAGUGGAAUUCCUGGUGGUAGCGGUGAAAUGCGUAGAUAUCGAGGAGGAACACCGGUGGUGUAGACGGCUCUCUGGACCGUAACUGACGCUGAGGCACGAAAGCGUGGGGAGCAAACAGG
rnacentral:rRNA from 1 species